GCUUUUUUUCCAUGUCGUGCCUCUUUCUCCUGCAGGAGGCUUCUUCCAAAGACGUUGAAGUGUUUACUUGGCUCAUACUUGGUAUGAAUGAAUAUUUCUGCAAAAUGUAGGCCACAGUGCCUCAAGCGACAGGAUGUGCCACAGGGGGCACAAGGGAAGAAGAUAUGAAUAAGGAGAGGUGGAAGAUGAUGAACGGGAUGGAGACCCCCUCCCCAAGGCCUUUAUUCAGUGUGCCUUCUGAAUGUCUUUUCCAGAAUGGGUCGCUGCCAGUCAUGUAAGCCAAAGCACAGAUUUCAUGCAGGAUCUAAAAAGCACGGCUAACCUGCUCCCACCACGGGAGAGACCCGGGGAGGGGACUGCAAGGUUGUGGGGCUGUCCGGCUCGCCAUUCCGUGAGAGAGAGCGAGAGCGCUGUUUUGCCAGGCGCAGGCGGCGCAUGUCAGAUCAGCCCCAAAGGAUCCAGGUCACGGUCAAGCCAGGCUGCCGGGCGGAAUCCGGCUGCCUGCGUCCGCCCGGCUCCUUGCGCUUGGAGCGCCAGCGGUGGGCGGGUGUCGGGGCCAAGAGAAGCGGGAGCCGGGGAAGGGGGCGGGGCCUCGGCGGGGCUCGUGACG